rnacentral:hammerhead_ribozyme from 1 species
AUCCAACUGAAGAGUCUCAGGUGAGACGAAACGCGAGUCAUGGAU